UUAGAGUUUGAUCCUGGCUCAGGACGAACGCUGGCGGCGUGCUUCAGACAUGCAAGUCGAGCGGGCGAAGGCCGAACCGCAAGGGGAGGCCCUAGCUAGCGGCGAACGGGUGAGUAACACGUGGGUAAUCUGCCCGGAAGACUGGGAUAACGGCCCGAAAGGGCCGCUAAUACCGGAUAAUAUCGCAGCCUCGCAUGGGGCAGCGAAGAAAGGCGAAAGCCACUUUCGGAUGAGCUCGCGACCCAUCAGCUAGUUGGUGAGGUAAAGGCUCACCAAGGCAACGACGGGUAACCGGUCUGAGAGGAUGAUCGGUCACACUGGGACUGAGAUACGGCCCAGACUCCUACGGGAGGCAGCAGUCGGGAAUAUUGGGCAAUGGGCGAAAGCCUGACCCAGCGACGCCGCGUGAGGGAUGAAGGCCUUCGGGUCGUAAACCUCUGUCAUCGGGGACGAAGAAAGUGACGGUACCCGAGGAGGAAGCCCCUGCUAACUACGUGCCAGCAGCCGCGGUAAUACGUAGGGGGCGAGCGUUGUCCGGAGUUAUUGGGCGUAAAGGGCGUGUAGGCGGCUUGUUAAGUCAGGUGUGAAAUUUCAGGGCUUAACCCUGAAACUGCGCUUGAAACUGGCAGGCUCGAGGACAGGAGAGGGAAGUGGAAUUCCCGGUGUAGCGGUGGAAUGCGUAGAUAUCGGGAGGAACACCAGUGGCGAAGGCGGCUUCCUGGACUGUACCUGACGCUGAGGCGCGAAAGCUAGGGGAGCAAACAGGAUUAGAUACCCUGGUAGUCCUAGCCGUAAACUAUGAGUGCUAGGUGUGGGAGGUUAAAAUCCUUCCGUGCCGGAGUUAACGCAAUAAGCACUCCGCCUGGGGAGUACGGCCGCAAGGCUAAAACUCAAAGGAAUUGACGGGGGCCCGCACAAGCAGUGGAAGCGUGUGGUUUAAUUCGACGCAACGCGCAGAACCUUACCAGGGCUUGACAUCAUAG
rnacentral:rRNA from 1 species